CGAGGCAGCAGUAGAGAAUAUUGUGCAAUGUACGGCAGUAUGACACAGAGAGCACACGCCCUCUUGGCCUGUCCAACUAAGUGCCAGCAGACGCGGUUAGACUUAGGGGCCAAGCCUUUAUGAGCAAAGGGGCGUAAAGGGUGUGUAGGCCGACUGCCCCACCCCCCCAAGGUGGUAACUGGAAUUUUUCUGUAGCGGUAGAAUGUGCGGAUAGAAAACAGAACCCCAAAAGCAGAAGCAAUUUACCGCGGGGCGGGAGGGGGGGGCCCCUUGGGGCGCCCCCCCGGGUCACGGGCUGAAACACGAGGGUGUGGGGAACAAACAGGAUUAGAGACCCUGGUAGUCCACACUGUAAACGAUGGAGAAAAUGCGAAUGCAGCCCCGAAAGGCAGCAAUCUCCCGCCUGAGUAGUACGAUCGCAAGAUUAAAAUUCAAAAAAUUUGGCUGUUCACCGUUUCGAUUAGAGGAGCGUGUAGUUUAAUUCGAUAAACCGCGAGAUACCUUACCCAAACUUGAAUCGCCCCACCCGCGACCCUAGUGGUCCCGGGGGGGGUGACCGGUAUUGCAUGGCCGUCGUCAGUUCGUGUAUGAAACCUUAAACGGACCCAACCCGAGGAUUAGCCGCGGAUGAAGUCAGGUCUUAUGGUCCCAAUGUUUGGGGAUAAUAUGCGCUACAUUUUCUUAUACAAUGGGAAACCUGGGAGGUGAAACCCAAAAGUGAGAGUUCGGUAGGCUAUUGGAAGAUGGCCGAAAGUUGAAUUUAAUAGUAAUCGGAAAGUAUAGCGUUCCGGUGAAAAUGGUCUAGGUGUUAGCACAAAUCGCCCGUCACCUUAACUUAGGAUGAUGGUUCGGACGCCGCCGCGCCCCCACGGGCCCCGG
rnacentral:rRNA from 1 species